rnacentral:rRNA from 1 species
CCCGGUGAACAUACCUGAAAGGCAACACUCGUUCCCAUUCCGAACACGACAGUUAAGCUUUCAGGGCCGAUGAUAGUGCCUACCAGUGCGAAAGUAGGUUAUCGCCGGGA